rnacentral:lncRNA from 1 species
UAAAGGUAUUAAAGAAUAUUUAAAGAACUGGGUUGACCUAUAGAAUGGAUGGAUGAUACCUUUUGGAUGGAUGGAUAUGUUGGAACUUCACAUUAAGGUUGUCAGUGAAUCUGGGGGAUUUAUAGCUUAUGCAAAUCACAAAAUGAAAAGUUUUGUACAUCAAAGAGAUAUUACAGAGUAAUCUCUAUUUACAACAAAUAAAAAAGAAGAGAAACAGGUAAUUCUACUUGCAUCGUUAUAUAAUCUUCAAACAUCAGCGGAAAAUUUUGGUCGAUGCAAUAAAGUUGUUUUUACAAAAACUUUAACAACAAAAGAUGCUGACCAAUCAGCUUUAAAAUCUUUUCUUUCAAGAGAAGUAAAGUUAAGAUGUCGAAAAAAUCGCUCAUCUUUUCAGCAGACUUCAAAAAGACACAAAUUAAGUUCUGAAUCUGUUGUUAAACAUGAGAAUGAUUGCACAGAUAUAAUUGAUAUUCCGAUCCCAGAAUGCAAUAUGGGUAAUAAAAUGUUACAAACAAUGGGCUGGAGUCCUGGACAAGGUUUAGGGAAAAAGAGUGAUGGUAUAAUAAAUCCAGUAAAGGCAAUUAAACGGCCUCGUAAUCUUGGAUUCGGUCAUCCUUAUUCCUAAUUGAUUAUGUGUCAUUUUAUUAAUAUAUAAAGAUUUUAGUUAUAUGUGUGUG